ensembl:processed_transcript Gm13568 predicted gene 13568
UUUUUUUUUUUUUUUUUUUUUUUUGUUUUUUGUUUAGCAAAAUGUGGACAACCAUCAGUAUCAUUUUUAUUGCAAAUUAGUUAACAAAAAAAGAUGAAAAAAAUACAUCAUUUUCAUUACCUACAGUUUUGCAUGUAGUUUUUUUUUUUUACGUUUCUUUUUUUUGUAAACUACACUUUAUUUUAUACAACACAGUAAGAAUCAACAUCUUAGGAUGCGUCUGGUCAUAUCUAUUAGGCAUGGCACAGACACUGCCCCCCAAAAGGCCAGAAAGAGCUGCCCUGAGGAGGUGGGCAACUGCCCCCGAAAGCCCCCAGCACACAGUGGCUGGAAAGGGGCUUGGUGGGCAGCAGAUGGGCCAUCCUGGGUUGUGCUCUUAGGAGCUACUGGUUCGGCAGCUACAGGUCACAAGGUCUGGGUCACACUGAGCUAAGCCACAGUCUGAC